AAUUAAAUUGGAUGUGGGUUAACAUCAUUCCAAAUAAGAAUAAGUAUUACCAUCAUUGUUUUUUUUUUAUCAGUAUGAGUUCCUUAACCUGUAUUUUAUCUAUCCUUCUGGCCGUCUAGCUAUCUGCCAAAGUUACUCUGCCCUCCCUGGGGGUGGCACAUACACCAACAUAUUCAGUGAUUUGCCAAAUCAAGUUAUCCUUGGAACCUUCACGCCUUUUGGAUGUGGUGAACAAGUUCAUUAAAGUGGAGAUUUCCGGGCGCUUUGCCAUCACCUUGGUCUACCAAUGGCAUCCUCAAAGUCUAAAGCUAUCUCUGGCACCUGUAAAAUGCAAGUUUUUUCCUUCAUCCUUACCUGAGGAGGUAGGUCCAGAGGUUUUUUAAAACAUCUUCAUGCCACCACCUCAGUGCAGACCAGAGCAAGAGCAAUGCUGACUGAUUUUAGAUUCUUAACUUUUAGUAUUUCCUGGUAAUUGCUAUAGUAAAGAUGUUGGAAUCUUGGCUAAUUAAAAAUCUUGCUAAGGUUGAGGCACCCGGCUGGCUCAAUAGGAGGUGUGUCCUACUCUUGACCUCAGGGUUGUGAGUUCAAGCCCUACACUGGGUGUAGAGAUUACUUUAAUGAAUUAAUUAAGUUAAUUUUUAAAAAAUCCUGUCAGAGCUGUUCCUGGACAUUACCUGUGAAAUAACUGGAAUGAUGGGAGGUUAGAAAAAGGUAGACUUGCGAGAAAAAUGAACACCUAGUUUCUUCUAAGGUCAUGAUUCCUAAGCUUUGGAGAGAAUUAAUUUCCUGUCUCUGAUUUGGGUGAAUUUUUUGCAUUUAUAUAAUCUGUGAUUUCUAUAAAUGAUGUGAGGUUUUUAUAUUGUUUCUAACUAAAGUGAGAUUCAAUUGAUUUAAAGUCAUUAUUUUUUUUUUAAGAUUUGUUUAUAUAUUGGGGGAGGAGGGACAAGGGGAGAGGUAGAGAAAGAAAAGCAGACUCCCUGCUGAGUGGGGAGCCCAACUGGGCAUGGUCUUUGAUUCCAGGACCCCAAGAUCAUGACCUGAGGUGAAAUCAAGAGAAGGACUUAACUGAUUGAGCCACCCAGGUACCCCUAGAGUCACUAUUUUUAAGCAAAAGUAGCAUUCUAAAGACUCUAAGAGAUGAGCAUUGUAAAAACUAUGGCUCAGAAUAAUGUUUCUUAAUAAGCAUUUCACACUUGUGCUAAAUCUCUGCUGAGGAAUUUUAGGCUAAAGCU
rnacentral:lncRNA from 12 species